rnacentral:rRNA from 1 species
AUUGAACGCUGGCGGCAGGCUUAACACAUGCAAGUCGAGCGAGGGGCGGACGGGUGAUAUAUGUCUGAGAAACUCCCUGCUGGAGGGGUAUCACUACUGAAAACUGUAGAUAAUACCGCAUAACGUCAGAUGUUCACAGGUGGUAUUAGCUUGGGGGUGGGGUAAUGUCUCACCUAGGCGACGAUUCAUAGGUGGUCUGAGGGGAUGACCAGCAACACUGGAACUGGGACACGGACCAAAAUCCUACGUGAGGCAGCAGUGGGGAAUAUUGCACAAUGGGCGCAAGCCUGAUGCAGCCAUGCCGCGUGUGUGAAGAAGGCCUUCGGGGUGUAAAGCACUUUCAGCGAGGAGGCGUUACUCGCAGAAGAAGCACCGGCUAACUCCGUGACAGCAGCCGCGGUAAUAC